rnacentral:lncRNA from 1 species
GAAGUUUUCUGCUCCUGUCCUGUACUGGUUUUCACUAAGCCAACUGUGAGAUUUCUUUGUUGCAAUAUUGGGGUCUGAGAUAACACUGCUGGAGGCUGGAGGCAAGAAACAUAGCCGAAACCAUCUUUUAGUGUGUGCUGUUAUUUACUAGCGCUGUGAACCAAGGAAGCGAAAAAACAAAGAGCCCGAAGACUGCACAGUUCCAGCUUGUAGGCCCUGGAGACAGUCUGGAGUCCUCAGACGGACAGAAAGAAGACAUCAGAAGGGCAACCUGUGGUGCCUGUGGCUGCUGAGUACAGGAUAUGAAUCAGAGAGAAAGAAGUAAAAUCUUGUCCUAGGAAGAAAGGGAGCGAUUGGCAGAAGACUUGUCUCUGGCGUGGGUGACUGAUUUUUAAGAAAUCGGCAACACGGAAGCUGAUUAUAAAAUAUUCAUAAGAAGCUGGCUUUUACAGACUCUCACCAUGUAGCACUGGCUGGCCUGAAACUCAUUAUAUAGACCAGGCUGGUCUUAAACUCACAGAGACCCACAUUCCUCUGCUUUCCAAAUACUAGGAUUAAAGGCUGGGCUCCAGGAAGUUGAGACUGAUGAAAUAUUGACCUCUGGGCAAGAAAGGGUUUGUUACUUAUUCACACUACAGAGUAUUAUGUUCUACGCGAGUCCCUAAGUUAGGGGUGGAAAGCAAAGUCCAGUGUCUUCUAAGGAGAGAAAUAAUAGUUAUUUGCAUAAUCAGUCUGACUUUUUAACCUAACUGUAAAUAUAAAGAUACCCAUUGUGAUGGUUUGUAUAUCCUUGGACAGGGAGUGGCACCAUUUGAAGGUGUGGCCUUGUUGGAAUAGGUGUGACCUGGUUAGAAUGGGUGUGUCACAGUGGGUGUGGGCGUAAGAUCCUCACCCUAGUUGCCUGGAAGUCAGUCUUCCACUAGCAGCCUUUGGAUGAAGACAUAGAACUCUCAGCUCCUCCUUCGCCAUGCCUGCCUGGAUACUGCCGUGCUCCCACCUUGAUGAUAAUGGACUGAACCUCUGAACUUGUAAGCCAGCCCCAAUUAAAUGUUGUUUUUUAAUAA